GAUCAUGGCUCAGAUUGAACGCUGGCGGCAGGCCUAACACAUGCAAGUCGAGCGGAUGAAGAGAGCUUGCUCUCUGAUUCAGCGGCGGACGGGUGAGUAAUGCCUAGGAAUCUGCCUGAUAGUGGGGGACAACGUUUCGAAAGGAACGCUAAUACAGCAUACGUCCGUACGGGAGAAAGCGAGGGACCGUCGGUCCGUUGCGCUAUCAGAUGAGCCGUACGGUCGGUAUUA
rnacentral:rRNA from 1 species